GGAAAACCCUCUAAAGUUGCCUCGAAUGAUACUUUGAUCGUUGAAGAGAAACCGCGGUUCGUCAAAUAGCGGCAGUCGUCGUCGUUGGUGGUGGCUAUGGCUCGGGCAAGUGGUCGGAGCAGGAAUGGGAGCGAAUCGUCGGGGGGAGGGUUUCUUAAGGCCGCUUUCAGAUUCUUGAAGAUGGCUGAGUUUGAGAUCCUUUUCGUUCUCUUCUUCGUCGUAGCUUUUAUUGUCUUCAAAGAUCUUACAUCAAGGCCAGAGUACAAUCAGAUCCUUGUAAAGAAGCCUGAGGGAUUUGAUAUGUGGCCAUUCCAGUAAAUUCUUUGACCUUGCUUUCAUGUAAUCUG
rnacentral:misc_RNA from 1 species